CCCGCUGUCUGAGCCUCGGGAUGCACGCCGCUCUCCUCAUCCCCUCUUCGGUGUUCGGGGUCCCAGAAACCGGGUUCUCACAGUGGCCCGGACCACAGGGAAAUCGCCGAAUCAUCCAUUCGGGGUCAAAGAGCCUGGAGGAUCCCCUUUCAGGGCCAGCCUCCUGGCACCCAGCAAUCGGAGGCCCGGACUCGCCCCGCCAGGGACCCAGCGACCCAGCAAGUCCUCACCCCCUCUCAGGGCGACCCUAGGCCUCGGGGAGAGGUCUCCACUAAAAAGGCUGCCACCUCUCGAUCCUAGACCCCGAGAUUCCUUUCACCCGGGAAAUCUCUUAAUCGCAUCCUUUGUCAUUUUGAUUUUUAUGCCGAAUUUCUAGCUCCUACGUCUCUAUUGCGGGCCCUAAAAGUCGCUGUUUCACUAAGCUUUGGAACCUGACUCCGGGAAAUUUCAUUCUUUCCUCCCAAGAUCUCAGCCGGAAAGAGAGAUCCGCGCGGGCUGGGAGCGCGGGUUCUGUUCCUCGGCCGCCCCGGCUGAACUCCCGCAGGACCACGGGGAAGAGGAGCCUGAGCAGCUCUGAGGGGCCAGUCUCUGACGGUGGGGCUCCCCCUCGUCCCGUCAGGACCCUGCCCCAAGGAGAAGACGCCUUAGAACGCUACCAGAGUUAAAAAUGUUUUCUCCUGCGCUUCAGAGCACUUGGGAUGAGGUUCCUGAUGGGUCUUGGGAGUGAACUAAGAUGUCACUCCAGGCGCUCAGGACCAUCGCUCUGAUUUUCAUAUUUUGGGGCUGAGAGCGGUUACGAAGGACUGAAAAACACCGCAGUCUUUGAGGGGCUCAGUUUGGAGGACGAGCUGGGGGAGGGGGGCGGUGAGAAGACGCCUUCUUGGCUCCUUGGAGUGGACUGGCAG
rnacentral:lncRNA from 1 species